rnacentral:misc_RNA from 1 species
CCGAGUUUACAACUCCCCAAACCCCUGUGAACAUACCUAUCGUUGCCUUCGGCGGGACAGCCCGGCGCCCCGUAAAACGGGACGGCCCCGCCGGCAGGUAUCCACAACCCUGAUUUUAUUGUAACUUCUGAGUUGGAAAAAACAAAUGAAUC